AGGAUAAACGCUGGCGGCGUGCCUAACACAUGCAAGUCGAACGUCCUACGCAAGUAGGGAGUGGCGGACGGGUGAGUAACACGUGGGCAAUCUACCUUUCGGUGAGGAAUACCGGCGAGAAAUCGCCGACAAUACCGCAUACGCUUCGCAAGAAGCAAAGUCGCAAGACGCCGGAGGAGGAGCCUGCGCCCGAUUAGCUGGUUGGUGGAGUAAUGGUCUACCAAGGCGACGAUCGGUAGCUGGUCUGAGAGGAUGAUCAGCCACACUGGGAUUGAGAACGGCCCAGACUCCUACGGGGGGCAGCAGUGAGGAAUUUUCGUCAAUGGGGGAAACCCUGAACGAGCAACGCCGCGUGCAGGAAGACACUUUUCGGAGCGUAAAACUGCUUUUCUCGGGGACGAGUAAGGACGGUACCCGAGGAAUCAGCCCGGCUAACACGUAGCCAGCAGCCGC
rnacentral:rRNA from 1 species